rnacentral:lncRNA from 1 species
GCCAAAUCCUGUCCUCCCCGCUUUCAGAAGCUAGAAUCAGCCUUAUUGCACCCCUCAGAGAUCACAGCAGCAGUCAGUGCUCUCCUCAGAGAUCUGAAUUCUACUUUCAUGCGGCCCCUCCCCUGAGCUCCUGAGAUAGCCAAUGUUUGAGCCACCUCCUCAGAAGUUUGAGCCUCAACACCGUGGGAUCCCUUCUUUGUGCUCCAGAGAUCCAGUAACAGCCAGCCAUCACCCUCUCUUCAUUCUUCAUAGGCCUGAACUAAGGUGUUCAGGGCCCUCCUUCAAGCUUUUAGGUUCUGAUGACUCCAACCACUUCUUUUGUUCCAUCCUUUCCUAGCUCUAGGAAUGGUAGCUGCUACCUGCAGUGAUUACCUGUUACCUUUUAUAAUUCCUUUUGACCAAUUUCCCAUAUUAAAAUAUUUCUCAAUAACUAAUGUGAUUUCUGUUUUCCUGACUGGAC